GGUGAACGCUGGCGGCGUGCCUAACACAUGCAAGUCGAUCGGAGCAGCAAUGCUUAGAGGCGAACGGGUGAGGAAAACGUAGUAACCAACCCUUUAGACUGGGAUAGCCACUGGAAACGGUGGGUAAUACCGGAUAAGCUCGAGAGAGGAAAGGCAGAGAAGCGCUAAAGGACGGAACUGCGCCCCAUCAGAUAGUUGGUGAGGUAAAGGCUUACCAAGUCAAAGACGGGAAACCGACGUGAGAGCGUGUACGGUCACAAGGGCACUGAGAGACGGGCCCUACUCCUACGGGAGGCAGCAGUGGGGAAUAUUGGACAAUGGGCGCAAGCCUGAUCCAGCAAUGCCGCGUGUGUGAAGAAGGCCUGCGGGUUGUAAAGCACUUUUGUUCGGGAAGAAAUCAUGCUGGUUAAUACCUGGUAUGGAUGACGGUACCGAAAGAAUAAGCACCGGCUAACUUCGUG
rnacentral:rRNA from 1 species